UACGAAGGGGACUAGCGUUGUUCGGAUUUACUGGGCGUAAAGCGCGCGUAGGCGAAUCGCUAAGUCAGGGGUGAAAUCCCAAGGCUCAACCUUGGAACUGCCUUUGAUACUGACGAUCUGGAGAUUGGGAGAGGUGAGUGGAAUUCCGAGUGUAGAGGUGAAAUUCGUAGAUAUUCGGAGGAACACCAGAAGCGAAGGCGGCUCACUGGCCCAAUACUGACGCUGAGGCGCGAAAGCGUGGGGAGCAAACAGG
rnacentral:rRNA from 1 species